GGGCGUUAAGUUGCAGGGUAUAGACCCGAAACCCGGUGAUCUAGCCAUGGGCAGGUUGAAGGUUGGGUAACACUAACUGGAGGACCGAACCGACUAAUGUUGAAAAAUUAGCGGAUGACCUGUGGCUGGGGGUGAAAGGCCAAUCAAACCGGGAGAUAGCUGGUUCUCCCCGAAAGCUAUUUAGGUAGCGCCUCGUGAAUUCAUCUCCGGGGGUAGAGCACUGUUUCGGCUAGGGGGCCAUCCCGGCUUACCAACCCGAUGCAAACUGCGAAUACCGGAGAAUGUUAUCACGGGAGACACACGGCGGGUGCUAACGUCCGUCGUGAAGAGGGAAACAACCCAGACCGCCAGCUAAGGUCCCAAAGUCAUGGUUAAGUGGGAAACGAUGUGGGAAGGCCCAGACAGCCAGGAUGUUGGCUUAGAAGCAGCCAUCAUUUAAAGAAAGCGUAAUAGCUCACUGGUCGAGUCGGCCUGCGCGGAAGAUGUAACGGGGCUAAACCAUGCACCGAAGCUGCGGCAGCGAACGUAUCACCCAAGACAACUUUACGGAGUUGACGAUUGACGGAGCGAAGCGACGUCAAAGCGUUCAUUAAAGUCGAGUUGGCUUAGGGAUACGUUCGUUGGGUAGGGGAGCGUUCUGUAAGCCUGUGAAGGUGUGUCGUGAGGCAUGCUGGAGGUAUCAGAAGUGCGAAUGCUGACAUAAGUAACGAUAAAGCGGGUGAAAAGCCCGCUCGCCGGAAGACCAAGGGUUCCUGUCCAACGUUAAUCGGGGCAGGGUGAGUCGACCCCUAAGGCGAGGCCGAAAGGCGUAGUCGAUGGGAAACGGGUUAAUAUUCCCGUACUUGGUGUUACUGCGAAGGGGGGACGGAGAAGGCUAUGUUGGCCGGGCGACGGUUGUCCCGGUUUAAGCGUGUAGGUGUGUGUUCCAGGUAAAUCCGGUUCACUUUAACACUGAGGCGUGACGACGAGGCACUACGGUGCUGAAGCAACAAAUGCCCUGCUUCCAGGAAAAGCCUCUAAGCAUCAGGUAACAYSAAAUCGUACCCCAAACCGACACAGGUGGUCAGGUAGAGAAUACCAAGGCGCUUGAGAGAACUCGGGUGAAGGAACUAGGCAAAAUGGUGCCGUAACUUCGGGAGAAGGCACGCUGACACGUAGGUGAAGUGAUUUACUCAUGGAGCUGAAGUCAGUCGAAGAUACCAGCUGGCUGCAACUGUUUAUUAAAAACACAGCACUGUGCAAACACGAAAGUGGACGUAUACGGUGUGACGCCUGCCCGGUGCCGGAAGGUUAAUUGAUGGGGUCAGCGCAAGCGAAGCUCCUGAUCGAAGCCCCGGUAAACGGCGGCCGUAACUAUAACGGUCCUAAGGUAGCGAAAUUCCUUGUCGGGUAAGUUCCGACCUGCACGAAUGGCGUAAUGAUGGCCAGGCUGUCUCCACCCGAGACUCAGUGAAAUUGAACUCGCUGUGAAGAUGCAGUGUACCCGCGGCAAGACGGAAAGACCCCGUGAACCUUUACUAUAGCUUGACACUGAACAUUGAGCCUUGAUGUGUAGGAUAGGUGGGAGGCUUUGAAGUGUGGACGCCAGUCUGCAUGGAGCCGACCUUGAAAUACCACCCUUUAAUGUUUGAUGUUCUAACGUGGACCCGUWAYCCGGGUUGCGGACAGUGUCUGGUGGGUAGUUUGACUGGGGCGGUCUCCUCCUAAAGAGUAACGGAGGAGCACGAAGGUUGGCUAAUCCUGGUCGGACAUCAGGAGGUUAGUGCAAUGGCAUAAGCCAGCUUGACUGCGAGCGUGACGGCGCGAGCAGGUGCGAAAGCAGGUCAUAGUGAUCCGGUGGUUCUGAAUGGAAGGGCCAUCGCUCAACGGAUAAAAGGUACUCCGGGGAUAACAGGCUGAUACCGCCCAAGAGUUCAUAUCGACGGCGGUGUUUGGCACCUCGAUGUCGGCUCAUCACAUCCUGGGGCUGAAGUAGGUCCCAAGGGUAUGGCUGUUCGCCAUUUAAAGUGGUACGCGAGCUGGGUUUAGAACGUCGUGAGACAGUUCGGUCCCUAUCUGCCGUGGGCGCUGGAGAACUGAGGGGGGCUGCUCCUAGUACGAGAGGACCGGAGUGGACGCAUCACUGGUGUUCGGGUUGUCAUGCCAAUGGCACUGCCCGGUAGCUAAAUGCGGAAGAGAUAAGUGCUGAAAGCAUCUAAGCACGAAACUUGCCCCGAGAUGAGUUCUCCCUGAGACUUAGAGUCUCCUGAAGGAACGUUGAAGACGACGACGUUGAUAGGCCGGGUGUGUAAGCGCAGCGAUGCGUUGAGCUAACCGGUACUAAUGAACCGUGAGGCUUAACCUU
rnacentral:rRNA from 1 species